rnacentral:pre_miRNA from 1 species
UAAUGGGACUCCCUUUGCUUUAACAUGGAGGUACCUGCUGCUUAGAAAAGUAAGUGCUUCCAUGUUUCAGUGGCGGUGGAUCCUAAUU